AGAAGUAUUUCGGUAUGUAAAGCUCUAUCAGCAGGGAAGAAAAUGACGGUACCUGACUAAGAAGCACCGGCUAAAUACGUGCCAGCAGCCGCGGUAAUACGUAUGGUGCAAGCGUUAUCCGGAUUUACUGGGUGUAAAGGGAGCGUAGACGGAUGGGCAAGUCUGAUGUGAAAACCCGGGGCUCAACCCCGGGACUGCAUUGGAAACUGUUCAUCUAGAGUGCUGGAGAGGUAAGUGGAAUUCCUAGUGUAGCGGUGAAAUGCGUAGAUAUUAGGAGGAACACCAGUGGCGAAGGCGGCUUACUGGACAGUAACUGACGUUGAGGCUCGAAAGCGUGGGGAGCAAACAGGAUUAGAUACCCUGGUAGUCCACGCCGUAAACGAUGACUACUAGGUGUCGGGUGGCAAAGCCAUUCGGUGCCGCAGCAAACGCAAUAAGUAGUCCACCUGGGGAGUACGUUCGCAAGAAUGAAACUC
rnacentral:rRNA from 1 species